ensembl:lncRNA
AUGAUUCCAUAUUUCACAAUUGAACUGCAUUUGAGGUUUUUGUUAAGGUCACGGACCCCAGUUAGAAACUGCUGUUCUGAGGCCCCUCAGCCGCCUGGAGACAAAGCUGGAAGCAGAGGCAGUGUGUGUUUUCCUGCUGCCGGUGGACAGGCGCGCAGGAUGCAUUUCCCUCAUCGAACCAGGGAGCGGAGACCCCCGAGCAAGAGAGGGAAGUCCUCGGACCAUCAGCGAGGCAGGUUGCAGAACGUCCUGGGCCGGACCGCAGCUGGGGGCUUUGAGAGUCCUGGGCAAGGAAGCGACGACCCUGAACCGUCUGAAGCGCCAGGCACGGGGCUCCUGGAGCAGUGUCUCUCUCAAGGUCCGGAAACCUUCUUUGAGUCGAACUCGGAAGCCCUCCCAUUUAAAAAAAAAAACAACAAAACAAAACCAAGAAGAGAAAAAGGGCCCGUAGAGGAUGCUAGUUGGAAAAAACCCUUAUUAAAUUCACUCCCAUUGUUUCCUUGGAAUGUGGUUCUCUAACACUGAUGUUCUUGUCUUUUCUGCUGACUUAGGACUUGCUGGAUCCUUGACAGCCUCUCCUGGUAUUCUUGCCUUAUCAGAUGUGGACAUCUCCGACACAGGCAAGAUAAAUUCCCAUCCUCAGCCUAGAGAAGCAGUUGGCCUGCUCACUGCAUCUCUGAAAAUGGAUGAGUGGCUAGGCCAGGUCCCUCUGGAAGGGCAACUUUGUGUCCAUUAAAAUACAAAUGCGGAACUCCUGUAAUUUUGUGUGUGUGUAUGUGUGCAAAUACCAAGCUGUAAUCUUAGUUGACCCACCCAGUUGCCUAGGGUCUGGUGCACAGUUCCCCUUUCCUGUUUAUUUUAAAUCGUUACCUAAACAAGAAGAGGAGGAGGAGGGAGUGCAAAGGGAAGUGUCCUAACACUGUUGGGAAGGGUGGAUUGCUAUUUUAUUGUUGCAAAAAUGAAGUUCUCUCCACUUGGAAACAAACACACCAGGCACCAAUUCUCUUUCAGUAACUACUGUUUCAUUCUCUCCAUAAAUGUGUCUUCAAAGGUUAGCUUCCACAUCUGUAAUUUUUUUUUUAAAGGUAAAAAUAUAUUUGGUGGUAAUCCUAUAUCUAAAAACCGGUAGAUAAUUAAAAAAAAAAAAAAAAAAACUAGGUGAUUUGCAGGGGGAAAAAAUCCCUAGUUCUCAGACAGACUUAUAAGGGCAUCACAUUCCAAAAUACAGAGUUGUUACAGCUUCACAUUUGACCGGUGACUCACUUACUAUUUUAAAAACAAAUAAAAAAGUAGCCUAAAGUAAAGAACA